AGUUUCCUCUAAAGUCACUUUUACUCUUUUUGAUAAAAAAAAAUGGAUGAAAUAGGGAUGGUUCAUAAAAAUAGACUAAUAUGAAAGUUGUAACUAUGUAUAAUGUAAAAUAUGUAGAACAUAAAAGAUUCAAAUUUACCACAGAUAAGAAGAAAAACGAAAGCAUCACAGUGUGCAUUACGGAAGCUGGCCCAAAAAAAACACCCACACAAACAUCACGUCACUCAAGUCACUGACUACAUUUCUGAAAUGUGAAAUGAAAUGAAAACAUUCUUCCGGAAAUCACCUUACAGAGUGAUCCAGCUUAGAUUCUUCAUUUAAAGAUUCCCCGAAUUAGUAAUAAUUUCACAUGGAGACCAAACUUCCAACGGAAAUCAGUUCUUUUGAAAAAGGCUAAAGACUGGAACAAGGUUUAGGAGUAGAAAAGCCGUGUACGACAAUGGGCUGUGUAGUGAACAAGUUUAUUCGUUUGUGCUCUCCUUCAGCUGAACAGGUAACUACAGUAUGUUGCUUUUUUACUCAUUACAAUUGUUACGUCCAAGGAAGUAUGUUUUUUGUGUUUUUCGCUUUUCGUCCAGUUUCCUUUCUCUACUUCUCACAAGCAGGAAGUAAUAUGUAUGGGCGCGCGUGUGUGUGUGUGUGUGUGUGUGUGUGUGUGUUUGUGUGUCCUCAACCUAAAAAGCGUUGAUUGAAUUUCUCUCAAUGUGUUAUUGGGUUAGUUGUCUUGUUGUACAGGUUUCUUAUUAUCAGAGAAAUUAUUAUUUCUUUAGCUAUUAAGUUUACAUUGUUAAUUCUUUGGGAAGGGAUUUGUAGAGAGGUGGGUGCCAUUUUCGUUCGCAUGUUUUCUCUUGUUUAAGCCAGUUAGGGAGUUAGUUUAGUAUUGUAAAUUUUGUCUUCUUUUGUAGUUUAGUUAGUUUCUUUUUAGUAGUUAGAGGGUUUAGGUUUGUUAUUUUGGCCUUGCCCCCUCUUAAAGCCUUUAAAUCCUCCCACAUUUGUACAAUAAAAGGAACUUGUUUGAUAUUGAGUUGCGAGAGAGAGAGAGAGAGAGAGAGAGAGAGAGAGAUACUGGGAAAGGAGAGAGAGAGACAGAGAGAGACAGACACUGGGAAAGGAGAGGGGGGAGAGAGAGAGAGAGAGAGAGAGAGAGAGAGAGAGAGAGAGAGAUUUUUGAUUUUGAAAAAGACCUUUAUUUCGAUUGCUCAGUUUCAAACAUGUCCGAUAAAAGGUUUAACUUAACUUAAUGCAGGAAAAGAAAUAAAUAAAUAAAAUGAAAAAUAAAAUAGAUAAAUAGAAUAGCUUUAAAAGAGAGAGAGAGAGAGAGAGAGAGAGAGAGAGAGAGAGAGAGAGAGA